GUGCCAGCAGCCGCGGUAAUUCCAGCUCCAAUAGCGUAUAUUAAAGUUGUUGUGGUUAAAAAGCUCGUAGUUGAACCUUGGGCCUGGCUGGCCGGUCCGCCUCACCGCGUGCACUGGUCCGGCCGGGCCUUUCCCUCUGUGGAACCCCAUACCCUUCACUGGGCGUGGCGGGGAAACAGGACAUUUACUUUGAAAAAAUUAGAGUGCUCCAGGCAGGCCUAUGCUCGAAUACAUUAGCAUGGAAUAAUAAAAUAGGACGCGCGGUUCUAUUUUGUUGGUUUAUAGGACCGCCGUAAUGAUUAAUAGGGACAGUCGGGGGCAUCAGUAUUCAACUGUCAGAGGUGAAAUUCUUGGAUCAGUUGAAGACUAACUACUGCGAAAGCAUUUGCCAAGGAUGUUUUCAUUAAUCAGGAACGAAAGUUAGGGGAUCGAAGACGAUCAGAUACCGUCGUAGUCUUAACCGUAAACUAUGCCGACUAGGGAUCGGGCGAUGUUCUUUUUCUGACUCGCUCGGCACCUUACGAGAAAUCAAAGUUUUUGGGUUCUGGGGGGAUUAUGGUCGCAAGGCUGAAACUUAAAGAAAUUGACGGAAGGUCACCACCAGGCGUGGAGCCUGCGGCUUUAAUUUGACUCAACACGGGGAAACUCACCAGGUCCAGAUGAAAUAAGGAUUGACAGAUUGAGAGCUCUUUUCUUGAUUUUUCAGGUGGUGUUGCAUGGCCGUUCUUAGUUCGUGGGGUGACUUGUCUGCUUAAUUGCGAUUACGAGCGAGACCUUACUCUGCUAAAUAGCCAGGCUAACUUUGGUUGGUCGCCGGCUUCUUAGAGAGACUAUCA
rnacentral:rRNA from 1 species